AGGUCUCCAAAGACUGAUGUGUGGUGAGCGGCAGCAAGUACGUUCAGACUAAGAUGGCCCUUAUUAAAGAAGGAAGCACUGCGGACAAAAAAUAUCGGGGAAAAACACCACUAACCUUAAGCGACAUCUAAAGGCUAAUCCCCCACACAUUCAGAAAGAAAGCCAGGACUCUAUGCUUUCUCUCCUAAAGUGAUCAUGCCUGACCUCCCUGGUCCAUCCUGAGCCUUGCUACCACCUCAUCUCUUUCAUCCCUUCUCCCUCAGCUCACAAACCCGUAAUACUUUCCCCUCUGCAAUUAAUUCCUCGACUGACCCCCCUCCUCCUCCCUCCCACCUCUCAUCACUGUGGCCCUGUCUCCUCGGGCUUCAUAACUUGAUGAAUGAAAACUGUUUCCAACAAUUAUUUGUCCUACUCUUCGGUUGAAUUCUCUGCUCCAGCCCCCUCUCCUUUCCCUUCCACAAACCUCAACAACUAAUGGAGCUCUUCAUCAAGCCUUGUGAAAAGCUCCUCACCUUGACAAAUUACGACACUCUUGGGGGUAAGCACAUUAUCAAAACCCAACGUUUGUUUAAAUAGAAAAUACAGAGUGCAUCAUUUGCAGCAAGUGAAGGUUUCCCCAGGUUUGUAGAAUACUCAUUUAAUUAGAAUUUUGCCAACUCAUCUGUCUAUGCUGUUGUGAUAAAACAUGACAUGUUUUCCGUAGUGCUGCCAUUUCGAAUUCUGAAAAUGAGCAAUGUGAAAAUUAAUUUCAGGUGCAAUGUUGCUGCAAAGAUAAUUGUUCUUUUUUUUUUUAGACAUGGCUUGAAACUCUAAAUGAUAUUUAUUUGAAACCAAGUGGUUUUAAAAUUUGUUUUAGGGUAACAAAUGCAGAACUUUGCAGAUGCAGAUCUUUUAGCUUGUUGAGUACAUGUAGUCUUUCCUUGCCAGACUAAAAGUGCAUGGGGUUUGCUCUUUUUAAGUGUGUGUUAAGUGAGAUGUAAUGACGAUCUAUUUGGUUAAAACAGGAGAGCUAUAAAAGAUAUUGUAUGUCUGUACUGAUUCAAAUAUAUGAAACCAUG